rfam:Phytophthora infestans T30-4 supercont1.62 genomic scaffold, whole genome shotgun sequence.
UCCCAAAUAGUAUAGGCGGUUAGGAUACGUGGCUUUCACCCACGCGACCCCGGGUUCGAAUCCCGGUUUGGGAA